AGUGGAGGAAGUGUAAAUAGUGUAAAAGUGAACAACUUGUGUGAUAUUACAGAAAAGAAUUCAUCUAUAACCUCCCAAAAAGUUAACUUUUUCAGCUGCCUUCAGAACCAGGGCUUCCUGUGCAAAAUGCUAAAACUCUGUUACAUUUCAGU